rnacentral:rRNA from 1 species
UUCCGGUUGAUCCUGCCGGAAGUUACUGCUAUCGAGGUUCGACUAAGCCAUGCGAGUCGAAUGUAGCAAUACAUGGCGAACUGCUCAGUAACACGUGGACAACCUGCCCUUAGGUUGGGUAUAAACCCGGGAAACUGGGUAUAAUACCCGAUAGGUCUCGAUUGCUGGAAUGCAUCGAGAUUUAAAGCUCCGGCGCCUAAGGAUGGGUCUGCGGCCUAUCAGGUAGUAGUGGGUGUAGCGUACCUACUAGCCUACGACGGGUACGGGCUGUGAGAGCAAGAGCCCGGAGAUGGAUUCUGAGACACGAAUCCAGGCCCUACGGGGUGCAGCAGGCGCGAAAACUUUACAAUGCUGGCAACAGCGAUAAGGGAACCUCGAGUGCCAGGUUACAAAUCUGGCUGUUGAGAUGCCUAAAAAGCAUUUCAUAGCAAGGGCCGGGCAAGACCGGUGCCAGCCGCCGCGGUAACACCGGCGGCUCGAGUGGUAACCGUUAUUAUUGGGUCUAAAGGGUCUGUAGCCGGCCGGAUAAGUCUCUUGAGAAAUCUGGCAGCUUAACUGUCAGGCUUUCAGGACAUACUGUCUGGCUCGAGGCCGGGAGAGGUGAGAGGUACUUCAGGGGUAGGGGUGAAAUCUUGUAAUCCUUGAAGGACCACCAGUGGCGAAGGCCUCUCACCAGAACGGACCUGACGGCAAGGGACGAAAGCUAGGGGCACGAACCGGAUUAGAUACCCGGGUAGUCCUAGCCGUAAACGAUACUCGCUAGGUGUCGGCCACGGUGCGACCGUUGUCGGUGCCGUAGGGAAGCCGUGAAGCGAGCCACCUGGGAAGUACGGCCGCAAGGCUGAAACUUAAAGGAAUUGGCGGGGGAGCACCACAACGGGUGGAGCUUGCGGUUUAAUUGGAGUCAACGCCCGGG